AGUGAUGAUAGAGGUGCAACUAUUAAUAGUACGGACAUAUAAGAGCAGAACAAGCUCAUUUGGAAUAUGUUCGGAAAGGAAUCGUUGCCGAAGUGAUAAUUAGUUUGUUCCUAGUUAUUGCUGGUUGUGCAUUUAAGAGAUGUACGACUGUCAGAGUGAAUUCUGGAGAGCUAUCUCACAU
rnacentral:ncRNA from 1 species